AUUGAACGCUGGCGGCAUGCCUUACACAUGCAAGUCGAACGGAUUGAAGGGGCUUGCUCCUUCAAUUAGUGGCGAACGGGUGAGUAAAGCAUCGGAACGUACCCAGUCGUGGGGGAUAACGUAGCGAAAGUUACGCUAAUACCGCAUACGAUCUGAGGAUGAAAGCGGGGGAUCGCAAGACCUCGCGCGAUUGGAGCGGCCGAUGUCGGAUUAGCUAGUUGGUGGGGGUAAAGGCCUACCAAGGCGACGAUCCGUAGCUGGUCUGAGAGGAUGAUCAGCCACACUGGAACUGAGACACGGGUCCAGACUCCUACGGGAGGCAGCAGUGGGGAAUUUUGGACAAUGGGGAAACCUGAUCCAGCCAUGCCGCGUGAGUGAAGAAGGCCUUCGGGUUGUAAAGCUCUUUCAGUCGGAAAGAAAAGGCUCCGGAUAAUACCUGGAGUUGAUGACGGUACCGACAGAAGAAGCACCGGCUAACUACGUGCCAGCAGCCGCGGUAAU
rnacentral:rRNA from 1 species